GUCUACAGCCAUGCCACCCUGAACAAGCUCAAUCCCAUCUGAUCUUAGAAGCUAAGUAGGGUCGGACCUGGUUAGUACUUAGAUGGAAGACCACGUAGGAAGACCAGGUACUGUAGGUG
rnacentral:rRNA from 1 species